rnacentral:rRNA from 1 species
UUUGCACGUUUUACGUGGUCAGUCAUCCAAAUAGCGUCAAAUUUAUAUCCGCCAACAAGUGUCGCCAAUAUUUUUGGUCAUUGGUUGGACGGUAUUCCAAAUAGGUUCAGAACGCUAAUAAGGGUGGGAGCGUAUGUCUUACUAUGGUCGCUUUGGCUAUGUAGAAAUGAUUUAGUUUUCAAUGACAAAAAUGUUUCUCCUUUGUAGGUUAUUUUCCAUUGUACGCACUCGCUUCGUACGUGGUCUACGCUACAACGAGCGGAGUACCAACUGCUGUUCAAGGCGGUGUGUACGCGGUUGGAGCAGGUGGCUACGGAGGUUUUACCCAACAUGGAUGGCAGCAUAAUCUCCGGAUCGGUCCAUCACCCCUUUCGACAUAGGCAUAGUGUCGGUCUAUAUGACCUACUGUCGCUGAUUUGUCGAUUUUUUCCUUUAUUGUUGUCAGACUUUAGAUGUUUGGCCGUGUGCAUCCUAAUUAUACAAAGGCCGGGUGUUACUAAUAAUGCUUUGUAUCCGUUUGAUGCUACAUUUUGA